AAGACCUUCAAACUUUGUGUGAGUCUAGAACUUAGAUCCUUUUUCUGUCUGUGUAACUGAUGAAAGCAGCUGAAUUUAAAUCUCUCUGUUCUGGCCUCUGAUGUUUACCAUCUAGUAUUUGAUCAGACUCUCUUUCCUCACCAGUUGACGUUGGUAGUAGUGAUGCAAUGAUUUCCGCUCAUCAUUAGGUUUAUAAAACAUGAUCAUGUCAUGUUUCCAAACCUUAAAGAGGGGAUCCAUCUUUUUACCACCUCAGUUACCUUUGUUGAAGUUCAGGUUUAACAAGAUCCCUCAAAUACAAAUCCCAGCUGCAGCUUGAACCAACUGUUGCUACCAGUGUGGAGGAAGAGAAAGUCCAGAUCUAAGAGGAGACGGAGAGAUUCAGGGAGGAGCUGAGCUGCUACUGAACUAUAGAAGAGAGAGGAGCUUCCAUAUUCAGCACAGUUCAAUCUACAAAGCACCAACACUACCUGGAUUCAACAUGCUCUCACUGCAUCAGUCUCUAUCUUCUCUACUGCUUCUCUCCACUCUAACAGCAAUCAGCCGUGAAGAACUCAGAUCGGUCAACAAUGAAGAGUUCAGUGCAGAAGGCAGCACUGUUACUCUGUCCUAUAACUACACCAAAGUGAACCAAGCGGAUUAUUUCUUCUGGUAUCGACAGUAUCCAGGACAAGCACCAGAGUUCCUCCUCUCACAUUCUGCUUCAGGACAAGUAGCUGCUCCAACCUCUGGACUGAGCAUUAAAGUGGAGCAGAACCAAAUCCAAAUGAUCAUCUCCUCUGCUGCAGUGACAGACUCUGCUGUGUACUACUGUGCUGUGAAGCCCACAGUGACAGGAAACUACACAACUCUGUACAAAAACUCCAGCUGCCAGAAGCCUCCUCUCCUCACUGCUCACCUCAGCUUCUUACCUCCACUAGAGGGCGAUAUAACUCAGUAGGUGUGCGUGAUAGCU